GUGACAAAAAGAUACUGAAGAAACGUUUCCAUCUUUAUUGAUUAAAUGGUUGUUCUUUGAUACACGUCCAGUAGCUAAUAUUUCAUGCAUAUUCAGUACGAGAACAUAUUAACAAAUAAUUCAAUAGACCAGUUCUUAAGAAGGAUAUAAGAAGGUGUCCAUCAAGUUGCAAGACGAAAAAAAGACAAAACGAAGAAAGGAAAAAAAUAAACGAUCAGACAAACAACUGUCCACGAUACACGAGACAGAAAACUGAAGAUUGGUCUACGGAGACAAAAAUCAAUUCUUUUUCCACUAGUGACACCCGUCAUGACGUUCAUGGUAGGUAAAAUUUCAGUGCUUAUUUGAAUUCGGUGAUAAUCGAUUAUAAUUAUGGGGUUGGAUCCAUAGGUGUGCAACG
rnacentral:lncRNA from 1 species